UGGGGAAUCAUGGUCAAUGGGGGAAACCCUGAACCAGCGACGCCGCGUGAGGGAUGAAGGGGCUUUGCCUCGUAAACCUCUGUCGGAUGGGAAGAAAAGUCCCCUCGGGGGACUGGGACUGUACCAUUAAAGGAAGGGUCGGCUAACUACGUGCCAGCAGCCGCGGUAAUACGUAGGACCCAAGCGUUGUCCGGAAUUACUGGGUGUAAAGGGUGCGCAGGCGGGCUUGUGCGUCAGAGGUUAAAUCCCACCGCUUAACGGUGGAACUGCCUUUGAUACGGCAAGUCUUGAAUGCGAGCGAGGUAGGUAGAAUUCCUGGUGUAGCGGUGAAAUGCGUAGAUAUCAGGAGGAAUACCAGUGGCGAAGGCGGCCUACUGGCUCGUUAUUGACGCUCAGGCACGAAAGCGUGGGGAGCAAACA
rnacentral:rRNA from 1 species